rnacentral:rRNA from 1 species
AUUGAACGCUGGCGGCAUGCUUUACACAUGCAAGUCGAACGGUAACAGGCCGCUAGGUGCUGACGAGUGGCGAACGGGUGAGUAAUGCAUCGGAACGUGCCCAGUCGUGGGGGAUAACUACUCGAAAGAGUAGCUAAUACCGCAUACGAUCUAUGGAUGAAAGCGGGGGACCGUAAGGCCUCGCGCGAUUGGAGCGGCCGAUGUUAGAUUAGGUAGUUGGUGGGGUAAAGGCCCACCAAGCCAACGAUCUGUAGCUGGUCUGAGAGGACGACCAGCCACACUGGGACUGAGACACGGCCCAGACUCCUACGGGAGGCAGCAGUGGGGAAUUUUGGACAGUGGGCGCAAGCCUGAUCCAGCAAUGCCGCGUGCAGGAAGAAGGCCUUCGGGUUGUAAACUGCUUUUGUACGGAACGAAACGGCUCUGGUUAAUACCCGGGGCUAAUGACGGUACCGUAAGAAUAAGCACCGGCUAACUACGUG